rnacentral:rRNA from 1 species
UACGUAGGGGGCAAGCGUUAUCCGGAAUUAUUGGGCGUAAAGAGUGCGUAGGUGGUUACUUAAGCGCGGGGUUUAAGGCAAUGGCUCAACCAUUGUUCGCCCUGCGAACUGGGUUACUUGAGUGCAGGAGAGGAAAGCGGAAUUCCUAGUGUAGCGGUGAAAUGCGUAGAUAUUAGGAGGAACACCAGUGGCGAAGGCGGCUCUCUGGUCUGCAACUGACGCUGAGGCUCGAAAGCAUGGGUAGCGAACAGG